GGGGAAGCUCCAGCACCAGCAACAACCUCACAUCUAAAGCGGGAUUCUUCAUUGCUAGAGCGCAAAGCAGCUAGACUUCAUACGUUUUCAAGUUUUCAGAAACCUAUAGAGGCACCUAGCAAAUCUCCAGCUAUUCCCAAGGACAAGGCGGCAGCAAAAGCAGCGGCACUGGCUGCUGCACGAGACCUUGAACGCAAUGCAAAGAUAGGAUCAGGAAGAGGUCCCAUGUCGCUUCUACUCCGUCGCUGUG
rnacentral:misc_RNA from 1 species